UACGGAGGGUGCAAGCGUUAUCCGGAUUCACUGGGUUUAAAGGGUGCGUAGGUGGGCAGUUAAGUCAGUGGUGAAAUCUCCGGGCUCAACCCGGAAACUGCCAUUGAUACUAUCUGUCUUGAAUAUCGUGGAGGUAAGCGGAAUAUGUCAUGUAGCGGUGAAAUGCUUAGAUAUGACAUAGAACACCAAUUGCGAAGGCAGCUUACUACACAACGAUUGACGCUGAGGCACGAAAGCGUGGGGAUCAAACAGG
rnacentral:rRNA from 1 species